rnacentral:rRNA from 1 species
UACGGAGGGGGCUAGCGUUGUUCGGAAUUACUGGGCGUAAAGCGUACGUAGGCGGCUUUGUAAGUUAGAGGUGAAAGCCCGGGGCUCAACUCCGGAAUUGCCUUUAAGACUGCAUCGCUUGAAUCAUGGAGAGGUGAGUGGAAUUCCGAGUGUAGAGGUGAAAUUCGUAGAUAUUCGGAAGAACACCAGUGGCGAAGGCGACUUUCUGGACUGUAACUGACGCUGAGGCGCGAAAGCGUGGGGAGCAAACAGG